rnacentral:lncRNA from 1 species
CAUUACUUAUAGUGAUACGAGAGUGUCAAAGUUAGAGCAUGAUUCCACCGCUGUGAAUGAGAAGGUGGAGGCUUUAGAGCACCCUAAGAAGUAGGGUUGAUUUGUCUUAGCAUCCGAUAGGGCGAGUGUGAGUUUUAUUAAAAGUUUGUUUAAUUUCUAAAGUUUGCUAUUGUAAUAAUAAGCCCUGCAUGAAGAUGAACUAAAUGAUUAUUGUAUGUCUUUUCUCUCUUUUGUCUCUCUUUUGUCUCCACCAUGUUGUGAAUGAAGGAUAAUAGGAAACCAGUGUGGGGGAGGCACCCAACGAUCGAAAUGAACGAAUUCUCACGAAAACGAUAACAAUAUUGGAGAAGGCAUGACACGAAGACCAUGCUCGACGAGGUUGACCCCAAAGGGCCACUAGCUAGGGGCGGCCGCUCCAUUCUGCUUGGGCUCCUACGCAAGGGGUGGAGCCCCUUGGUCUUCGCUUCGAGCCACGGUUAGGUAUGAUUUCUCUAUGUCAUAAAUUGUUAGUAUUGUUGCUAUUUUGAUUUGGAAGUUAAAUCACCCUAUGCAUAAAUAUUUAAAAGAUGUUCUAUUCAUGACCACAAGAUAGACCCACACCAUGAUAAUUCCUAGAAAUUCCUGUUGUUGUUGUGAACUUUAAUAUAGGAACCGCAUAUUACUUAAGUUGUGGUGGAAAGAGAGAUAGUAUAAAUAUGAGAACUUGAUUUCUGAUGUCUAGUCAUUUGGAGAAUUUACAUUUCAAAAAUCUUAAAAUUAUUAGCUAUACUUCUCCUCUGUAGCAAGAAUUAAUAUCCUACUAGAGCCAUGCAUGAUAGAUAUAAAAUAGCUCAUAAGCUACUUGCUUUGUAUUGAGUUCUGUCAAACCUUAUUGACCUAUGUCGAGAGGAUUAUCAUGCUCUUAAUCUCAAGAUCACGUACACCCACAUAUAUCUCCCAUUCCUACAUUGGGAAUGUGCAUAAACAUGCCUUUCCAUCCAUUAAAAAUGUUUUACUCCUACACUGGGAGGAAACACAAAAAGAAUCUUGGCCGGAAUAAUUGCUCUAAGUUCUUUAAAAAGUCUUUCUCAAUAUUUCUUGGUUACAGAAGGGAGGUAUGUGGCUAUGCAAUAUAAAAGUAUUGAAAAAAGAAAAAGAAAAAGGACAAGUGUCCUAGAAAGAAAGAAGAAUAAAAGAUAGCCCAUACCAUCCUAUACAAGGACCAUCAGUGCUUUAGAGAAAGAAUGACAUUUUGAAAAGAGCAAUGUAGAAUUAGGAUUAGCCACUAUAUAUUCCACACACAUGAACUUCUUGAUCUAAGAGUAUGCUAUUCCCCACCAUGGAUCUGAGUUUUGACUUAGCAAAAAUAUGCAAGGUAAGUAUGCUAUUUCCUUGAAUUACCUUUAACUCCAUAUAAGCCUAUAUAGAGUAGGAUACAUAUGAUGCAUAUAUGCUUUGGUGAGUUCCACAAAUAACACCUAUGAUGAGUGAUUCGAGUGUGCUGCAUGAUGAAGGGUAAGCUAGGUUUUUCUUUGCAAAAAUACUAUAAAACUCCAAGUGACAGAGCUAAAGGGAAAGAGAACUCUAUUUUGUACUGUUCCAUCCUCAACUUCCCAAACAUUUUAUGGUAGACACUUUGAAUCCCGCAGUACAGGUAUGACUUGGAAUAAAUUUGGUGAUGUCUUGGUUUGAGGUUAUGUUUAAAAUAAUCUACCCUUUUUCCUCGAGGACGAGUAAAAGAUAAGUGUGGGGGAGUUGGUUGAUGGUAUUUGCAAGCACUUAGUAGAUAUGGACCUAUUUGCAAGCUCUCAGUAGAUAUAGGGUUAUCGCUAAUAGAAUUCCAUGAGUUUUGGUCAUUGUCUAUUUCCGUAGAGGGUUACCGAAAAAAUAACAAAAGAAGGUCCACAUGUCAGAUUUACAUAGAGAGAAGACCCAUGUGUCAACUCAGAAACAAUCUAGAAGACUCG